rnacentral:lncRNA from 1 species
CUCGCUUCCGGGACAAGGAAGCCGUUUCCGGCAGGUGUCAAACGCCCUGUCCUAAUCAUAGACACCUAGGCCUGGAGGAUUUGUGAGAAUCCCAUCUAAUGACCAGCACGUAGAAGGUGCUCCACUUCACAAGGCCUCUCUGGUUCUUCACAUUGGAACACAAUGCUGGAUUCACACCGAGGCUUCCUCAUCUCCAGGCUUUGUGGCAUCUCUUCUCCAGACUUUUGCUCGCUCUUCUUCUCUGAGUCUCCUCACACAACGUCCUAGGAUAAACCUACUUCCCACUACUGAACAGGGUUUGGAGGACAACCUUUUAUUUCCUUCAGAGUUACUUGCUUCUCCCUGGGGACUUUCUCGGUAGCUUGGUCCCAGCAGUUGUGAGCAGUAGGUACUCAACCCAAAGCGGAGGAGUAGGUACUUAACCCAAAUCUGUUGUCUUCCUUUUGGGCUUUCCUGGUGUGAUACAGUGAGGAAGGUGCCCCUGGGAAGGAAUUUGCUGACAUGUUGAGGACUCCUGAGGUGACUUCAUGGAGUUGAGUGGAUGGUGACUCAUCUGUUUGUAUCUCUCAGUAGCAAUGCUUUCCCAGCCUCUCUUAGGUUCCUUUGCAUUAUUAGCCUUUACAGUGAAUAUCAACUCUCUGCUUGACUUAUUUUAAAACUUUAUUAUUUUAACCGACUUUGUCCUGGGCUGUUGUGAUUUAUAAUAAGAAAUAAAUAUUUGGUCCUCAUCUUGUUUCUGGCAUAGAGCUCCCAAAACUUUUGGAAUUUCUUAAGUGAUGAAUGUGAUACAAAUGUCUUUGUGAUGUUCAUUAGGUGACUUUGGGAAAGACCUUAAGUCACCUAAGGAUGGGGUCUGGUUGCCAGGGGGACCAGUGUUGUAGUUAGAGGUUUGUUUAUUUAUUUAUUUAUUUUUAAAUAUUUUAUUUAUUUAUUCAUGAGAGAUACACAGAGAGAGAGGCAGAGACACAGGCAGAGGGAGAAGCAGGCCCCAUGCGGAGGACUCGAUCCUGGAUAUCCAGGAUUGCGCCCUGGGCCAAAGGUGGUGCCAAACCACUGAGCCACCUGGGCUGCCCUAUAGUUAGAGGUUUAGAUUGAGUUCAGUCACCAAUGGCCAAUGAUUUAAUGCCUAAAUAAUAAAGCCUUCAUACAACUCAAAUGGAUGGGGUUCAGGGAGGUUCUAGGUUGAUGAACUAACUUGUGAAGAUUUGGGGAGGGUGGUAUGCUCAGAGAGGGUGUGGAAGCUCAUGGCCCUUUCCCCAUAUCUUGCCCUAUGCAUCUCUUCUACCUGGCUCUACCUGGCUCUUCCUCUUAUAACAAACUGGUAAUCUAGUAAGUAAAAUGUUUCUUUAAGUUCUGUGGGCCACUUUAGGACGUUAAUGAAACUCAAGGAGAGGUACUGUUGAAACUUUAUUUUUCUUUGUAUAUUUUUUUUAUUGGAGUUUGAUUUGCCAACAUAUAGUAUAACACCCAGUGCUCAUCCCGUCAAGUGACCCCCUCAGUGUUCCGUCACCCAGUCACCCCAACCCCCUGCCCACCUCCCUUCCACUACCCUUGUUCAUUUCCCAGAGUUAGGAGUCUCUCAUGUGCUAUCACCCUUACUGAUAUUUUCCACUCAUUUUCUCUCCUUUCCCUUUAUUCCCUUUCACUAUUUUUUAUAUUCCCCAAAUGAAUGAAACCAUAUAAUGAUUGUCCUUCUCCGAUUGACUUUCUUCACUCAGCAUACUACCCUCCAGUUCUAUCCAUGUUGAAGCAAAUGGUGGGUAUUUGUCAUUUCUAAUGGCUGAGUAAUAUUCCAUUGUAUACAUAGACCACAGCUUCUUUAUCCAUUCAUCUUUCGAUGGACACCGAGGCUCCUUCCACAGUUUGGCUAUUGUGGACAUUGCUGCUGUAAACAUUGGGGUGCAGGUGUCCUGCCAUUUUACUGCAUCUGUAUCUUUGGGGUAUAUCCCCAGC